AGCAGUGGGGAAUUUUGGACAAUGGGCGCAAGCCUGAUCCAGCAAUGCCGCGUGCAGGAUGAAGGCCUUCGGGUUGUAAACUGCUUUUGUACGGAACGAAAAGCCUUGGGUUAAUACCCUGGGGUCAUGACGGUACCGUAAGAAUAAGCACCGGCUAACUACGUGCCAGCAGCCGCGGUAAUACGUAGGGUGCAAGCGUUAAUCGGAAUUACUGGGCGUAAAGCGUGCGCAGGCGGUUUUGUAAGACAGAGGUGAAAUCCCCGGGCUCAACCUGGGAACUGCCUUUGUGACUGCAAGGCUAGAGUACGGCAGAGGGGGAUGGAAUUCCGCGUGUAGCAGUGAAAUGCGUAGAUAUGCGGAGGAACACCGAUGGCGAAGGCAAUCCCCUGGGCCUGUACUGACGCUCAUGCACGAAAGCGUGGGGAGCAAACAGGAUUAGAUACCCUGGUAGUCCACGCCCUAAACGAUGUCAACUGGUUGUUGGGUCUUAACUGACUCAGUAACGAAGCUA
rnacentral:rRNA from 1 species